UACAGAGGUCCCAAGCGUUGUUCGGAUUCAUUGGGCGUAAAGGGUGCGUAGGCGGCGCGGUAAGUCGGGUGUGAAAUCUCGGAGCUUAACUCCGAAACUGCAUUCGAUACUGCCGUGCUUGAGGACUGGAGAGGAGACUGGAAUUUACGGUGUAGCGGUGAAAUGCGCAGAUAUCAGGAGGAACACCUAUUGCGAAGGCAGCUCGCUGGGACGUAACUGACGCUGAGACGCGAAAGCGUGGGGAGCAAACAGG
rnacentral:rRNA from 1 species